rnacentral:rRNA from 1 species
GACGAACGCUGGCGGCGUGCUUAACACAUGCAAGUCGAACGGAAAGGCCCUGCUUUUGUGGGUGCUCGAGUGGCGAACGGGUGAGUAACACGUGAGUAACCUGCCCUUGACUUUGGGAUAACUUCAGGAAACUGGGGCUAAUACCGGAUAGGAGCUCCUGCUGCAUGGUGGGGGUUGGAAAGUUUCGGCGGUUGGGGAUGGACUCGCGGCUUAUCAGCUUGUUGGUGGGGUAGUGGCUUACCAAGGCUUUGACGGGUAGCCGGCCCGAGAGGGUGACCGGCCACAUUGGGACUGAGAUACGGCCCAGACUCCUACGGGAGGCAGCAGUGGGGAAUAUUGCACAAUGGGCGGAAGCCUGAUGUAGCAACGCCGCGUGCGGGAUGACGGCCUUCGGGUUGUAAACCGCUUUCGCCUGUGACGAAGCGUGAGUGACGGUAAUGGGUAAAGAAGCACCGGCUAACUACGUG